rfam:Gossypium arboreum cultivar AKA8401 contig_37590_3, whole genome shotgun sequence.
GAAAACCAAAUGAAUCGAAAGGUUCAUGUUCGGUUCGGGAAGGGAUCAUGAAAUUUUUGAAAUAAAAAAAAAUGAAUGGAAAGAUAAUCUAUUUUCAU